rnacentral:rRNA from 1 species
GAUGAACGCUGGCGGCGUGCUUAACACAUGCAAGUCGAACGGAAAGGCCCAAGCUUGCUUGGGUACUCGAGUGGCGAACGGGUGAGUAACACGUGGGUGAUCUGCCCUGCACUUCGGGAUAAGCCUGGGAAACUGGGUCUAAUACCGGAUAGGACCACGUCUUGGAUGUUGUGGUGGAAAGUUUUUUCGGUGUGGGAUGAGCUCGCGGCCUAUCAGCUUGUUGGUGGGGUAAUGGCCUACCAAGGCGUCGACGGGUAGCCGGCCUGAGAGGGUGUACGGCCACAUUGGGAUUGAGAGACGGCCCAGACUCCUACGGGAGGGAGCAGUGGGGAAUAUUGCACAAUGGGCGCAAGCCUGAUGCAGCGACGCCGCGUGGGGGAUGACGGCCUUCGGGUUGUAAACUCCUUUCGCUAGGGACGAAGCGUUUUUGUGACGGUACCUGGAGAAGAAGCACCGGCUAACUACGUG